AGUCAAUGCAAAAUUUAAAAACUCAUCAAGUCUACUUAACUGACUGCAGGGAGAACAGUAGCAAUCAAGCAAUUCAACACGAUGGACUACAGGACAGGGCUGCUUCUCUUUACUCUCUACUGGGCAGGUGUCAAUGGUCAGACUCUGACAGAAUCUGAACCAGUUACUAAAAGGCCUGGAGAGUCCCACAGAUUGACCUGCACAGUCUCUGGAUUCACACUCAGAAGCUACGCUAUGGCCUGGGUUAGACAGGCUCCUGGAAGAGCACUGGAGUGGAUUGCUUUGAUAGGCACUUAUAGUUCUCCUAUCAGUUACUCCCAGUCAGUCCAGGGUAGAUUCACCAUCUCCAGAGAUGACUCCAGCAGUAAAAUCUAUCUACAGAUGAACAGCUUGAAAACUGAGGACACAGCAGUUUAUUACUGUGCCCGAUGAAGCACAGUGAGAGACA